AUGCAGUUGUUGCUGUCCUGGGCGAGCAGCCGGACCUGGUUCAUCCAGGUGCGGAUCUGCUCGUCGUGCUCGCCACCGGCAGGCGCCUUCUUUGACAAAUGUGUCAAGAAGCUCUGCAUGCUCUCCAUCUCCUCCCGGAUGAACUGCACGUCGUGCCGGACGCGGCCCAGCAGCAGCGCCUCAUUGCGGAUGACGCCCAGUAGCGAGCUCACCGCACCCGACGCGAGCUCCGCCAUGGCUACCCCCUCCCUCCGCCGGCCGGUGGCUUCGUGGGAUCUAGUUAUCCUCGCGUCUGUAUCGAAGAUGCACUGGUUGCACCACAACGGUGCCGGCCGGUGGCUUCGUGUCUAG
rnacentral:rRNA from 1 species